AAAGUAUCACUACUCCCAAUAUGAAAUCUAGAAAAAAAUCCGGUUCUGAAUAUCUAAGCUAAAUUCUAAUGUUCAGCAACAGUAUAAAACAAAUGUUAACAUUAAAAGAUAUGACUAAUCUGGACUCAUCCUAGAGUCAAAACCCUGGGUUGUGAAAUUCCCCAUUUUUUGUACAUCUUUUUCUAAUAUUCUUAAGUAGAAAAGCUGGAGUAUUUGAACAUUAGCAAUAGAGUAAAACAGCUUCGACUGAAUCACGUCUUUAAUAUUUUUCAUGAAAAAUGACCAGAUUAUUUGAAAAAUAAUUUUAGAAAACAUUGUUUAUCCAGAUCAACUAGAUCAAGUAAGCUUAAUUUCUUUUUACCAAGGCUUGAGAAAAUGGAAUCAGAAACUUUUUAUUUUAACGGCAUCAAAGACUGGAAUUCUCUCCCUGAUAAAAUAAAAUGUAUAAACAAUAGAUUUUCAUUCAAAUUUGCAAUUUAAAAAACUUUACUCAAUGACAUGAAAAAAUGGCAGAUACUGUAGUGAUUUUUUGUAUUAUUGAUCCACAUUGUCUUGUUCAUACAUAGUUAUUACAGUUGUUAUUUAUUCCAACAAUUUUCAAUACUCAGCACUGUUGAAAUGUAAGAUAUUUAAAGUAUUCUUAUGUGUUUCAAAUCAAUGUCUUUCAAUAUCUUUUUUGUUUGCAUUGUUUUAUCAUGCUAAUAAUGAUAAUAUAUUGUGUGUGUCAUAUUAUAAGAUCAGAAGGAUCCCAUUGGAAAUAAACCAUAUGGCUUUCACAGGUUAUCAUUGGCAUAGGCAUAUACAUUAAUUUACUCACUGUGCUCUUAAAGUCAAAUACAUUGUUGCUGUUAAAAUUUACUUUUUAUCUUAUGUAUUUAACAACAACUUUUCUUUUAACUAUGUGUUCCUCUGUGACAUUGUCUUGUAUUUAUAUUGUAUAUGUGCCUAUAGGGUCUGUAAGUCUCGUUUGGUUUCACUUUCGGUUUUACUACUUCCGGGUACAACAACAUGUGGAAUAUAUAAAGUCGUAACAGAGAAUCGGCGCUAAUAUGUAAUUUGGUGUAUUGUUAAGCGAUCGGUUGCAUACAUGAGACUGGGAAAACCCUGCCAUGUAGUUUAUUUAGGUUCCUAGUCGAUGCUACAGUAAGGAAGCGGUGGAUACAAAGAUGUAGAAAAAAUAACCUUGCUAGGAAAAGGGGAAAGGGUUGACAGGACACCCUUGAAGUAUCUGCUUGAAACGUACAUGUAGGAACCGAAGUUGAUACUGCUACCAAUAUAUCUGUACCAGACAACAAUGAAGUAGAUCUACAUGAUCACGAGCACACAACAUCAAACCCUCAAGAUUUAAAAAGCUUCCCUUGAAGACUAUGAUGUUGUAAACUUGCAGUGAGAAAUAUACCUGCUUAAUUAAAGGAAACCAUCCUUGACAAUUGGGAACAUCAUAAUUGAAAGACCCUGGAAAGGGAUCAUGAACACUGUUGGGAGUGUCCAUUCAACUGAAAUAUAAAAGUCAGAAGAAUUAAAGAUUGCAAUGGAUGCAACAGAAGUGACCUAAUAUGACCAAAUUGAUAUGAAUAGCCAGUUUUUUGCUUGCAGUAAUGACAAGAGUCGCCACAAAGAAAAGACCUUAAUGUGUAUUACACCCAAUGCAGCUUAUUUCCAAUCUGUAUGCUGGAUACAAAUCUAAUUUGGCAAUUGUGAACCAUUGAGGCAUUUUAGAGAAGUUGCAAGUUGGUGAUAUAUUCCUGGCGGACAAAGGAUUUUGUAUAUUUGACAAACUUCCAAAUGACAUGACACUUAUUAUCCCAUUCUUUCUUACAAAUAAAUCCCACUUCUCAAAAGAGGAUGCACAACUUUGCUAUAAAAUUUCCAGAUGCAGAAUCCAUGUUGGAUGGGAAAAUGAGAGAAUAAUUUUUUUUUUUUUUUAAAUUCCUUAGCCAUAUUCUAUCAUAGUAUAGAUAUUGAUCUGACAAAAUAUUUCAGAUUUGUGUGGAUCAUGUGAAUUUGCAGGUUCCCCUUUUGAAGGAGAUUGCAGAUAAAUCCUACAAACUUAUUAGAUUAAUUGCAUGUAUAUAUAUAUACCUUAAAUCUGUACAUACCUGCCACAUUGAAUUUUUAAAGUUAAAAGUAAUGAAUACCAUAUAUGCAAUAUAACUUUUCUACAUAUUUAUAAAAAUAUAAAGCCUUUUAUAUUCAUAUGAAUAUAAAGCCCUUUGGAACGUCUCCAUCAGAAUGAAAUAUUCUCGAGAGGAACGUUAAACAAUAUACAAUCAAACAUAAAGCCUAUUGUUCUCAUUCUGAAGGUUUUCAAAUCUGCAUUAUUAAAAAAGAAGUAAAAUCCAUUGUUUUAGUAAAUGCAUGUAAUUGAAUGAUUUUUGUAAAGCUGGACACUGUGUCUAUACAUGUAUACAUGUAUUUUGGUUCAUCUAAAUUAAGAAAAACUCUGUCUAUAAUGUUUAUUCAAUAAAUAUACAUGUAAUUACAUAACUUUGAUAGAUGCACCACUGAUAUCAUAAUAAAGUAUAUGUACAUGUG